UGACAUUAUUAAAUUUUAUUUAGAGCUAAAUAUGUCUCAAACGGCUAUAUAUACUAUAACAGACCAAAGUGUACCGUGUAGCAUGAUGUUAUCGUUUCGUUUAUUCGGGAAUAAUUCAAUUGUUUCAAAUAUACUUGGAGCAACGCCUCCAAUGCUUUCAACUGCAAACGUAACAAUGGGUUCUAUGAUGCAAACAACGGCUGCAAACAGAGUAACUAUAACUAGGAAUACCACGUUAGAUUUUGGAAACUAUAGGGGAUGGUCAAUUACAAUAUUGACCGCUGUUAGGACAAUUGCGCAAACCUUAAAUUAUGUGAGCGUUACGCCAGCUGUCACCGUCAAUUCAAUCCUCUUUACGGCAUGAAAAUCCCUAGUGGAUAUUAAAGAGCAAACGGACUUCAGAA